rnacentral:lncRNA from 1 species
UAUUUCUUAGGCUUUCAUCUAUGUUUCAUCUUUAUGUUUAUUUUUGUAUAUUCUAUUUCCUUCAUAUUAAUUAUCUCAUCUGCAUGUUAAACUUCAUUUGGCAAAUCCUAUACCAUCUUCAUUGUGUUGGCAGAGAGUUCAAUCCAGGCUCUAUGAUAUGCGUAGCAUAUUCUUCUCUUAUUUCUUAUGAGUGACCAACUAAAAAUUUAUCUGCGUUUAGCAAAGUUUGCGGUACCAAUUGGUACGUACCAUAUCAGUGUUGAACCAGUACAUGGUAUUAGGGAUGUACUAAUUGUCGAUGCACCGAAGUAGGUACCAUAUCGGAUGUGUACCAAUAAAGUAGUAGGAUGGUAUUGGUAUAGGUCCGCUACCAAGAUGGUGAACCUAUUUAGGCCCUAUUUGGAGAGCUGUUGGCAGUAGAGCUUUUGGAAGUAGAGUUUUUAUAAAAAGUUGUUUGCUUUUUGAUAAUUAUAUUUCUAAAGUGCUGUGGCACUUUAACAUGUAUUUGGUACAAACUGAGAAAGUACUUUUGCUAUGAUAAAAUGACCAUAAAGGACAUUGCAUAGUAUUAUACAAUAGAAUAUAAUAAAAUAUAAUAUAUAUUAAUACAU